AAACAGUUGAGAUUGGCUUGGUUCCAGAUUGGGUUCAGCCCACCUGCUCUCAUAACCUAUGGAUGGAAGACCUGGCAUUUGGUGUGAGGGCUGCUCAUUCACCUUUAGCAUCCACUUACUAUUCAACUCUCCAGCUGUGGCUCCAAGAAGCUAUAGUAUAUGCUGUUGGUCACACACCUGUGAAACUGUCUCUGCAGAAGAGCUAAAUCAGGUUGGAGGUAAUUGACAGGCCUCAACCCCCUGAGUGAGUUAGAGGGAUAUCUAUCCCAAGCAUGUGAGACUUACCCUGGCAGAAUGCGUGGAUGAGAACAAUUUGUUCCAAUGGCCACAUCCCAGGUGCUGUGGAGUACUUAGAGCUUGGUCACACAUCAGAAAAGCCAAGGUCAUCCCAAGCCAUCAGCAGUCACCCUGACUUUUGUGUUGCCACUGGACUUCGAUAGCUCCGGAAGAGAGAGUGAGGCUGAUGACUGUGCAGCUCUGCCUCACUUAAAUCCAAUUCAUGAGCAAGACAAGAUGUCAUGCCUAGAUGUCACUGGUCUUUGAACAACAUUUGGUGGGAAUAUGUCUAUACUUGGCUGACAAGGAAUAGAGCCAGAAUGAAGAGUGGAUGUGGGGGCAUAGAGAAGUGGAGAGAUCAAACUAAUGGGAGAGAAUGUGCAAUGGUAGGACUUGGGAAUUGGGGAUGACAUGAAGUAGAACAGGUAGUGGG